CAGUAGCCGCGGGAAUACGAAGGUCCCGAACGUUGUUCGGAAUCACUGGGCGUAAAGGGAGCGUAGGCGGCGUGGUAAGUCAGAUGUGAAAUCCCGGGGCUCAACCCCGGAACUGCAUCCGAUACUGCCGUGCUAGAGGAUUGGAGAGGUAGCUGGAAUUCUUGGUGUAACAGUGAAAUGCGUGGAGAUCAAGAGGAACACUCGUGGCGAAAGCGAGCUACUGGACAAUAUCUGACGCUGAGGCUCGAAGGCCAGGGUAGCGAAAGGGAUUAGAUACCCCUGUAGUCCCUGUCUCUUAUAC
rnacentral:rRNA from 1 species